UUUUUAAAUUGAGAGUUUGAUCCUGGCUCAGGAUGAACGCUGGUGGCGUGCCUAAUACAUGCAAGUCGUACGCUAGCCGCUGAAUUGAUCCUUCGGGUGAAGUGAGGCAAUGACUAGAGUGGCGAACUGGUGAGUAACACGUAAGAAACCUGCCCUUUAGUGGGGGAUAACAUUUGGA
rnacentral:rRNA from 1 species